CAGUCUCCGCGGGAAUACGUAGGUGGCAAGCGUUGUCCGGAAUUAUUGGGCGUAAAGGGCUCGCAGGCGGUUUCUUAAGUCUGAUGUGAAAGCCCCCGGCUCAAUCGGGGAGGGUCAUUGGAAACUGGGAAACUUGAGUGCAGAAGAGGAGAGUGGAAUUUCACGUGUAGCGGUGAAAUGCGUAGAGAUGUGGAGGAACACCAGUGGCGAAGGCGACUCUCUGGUCUGUAACUGACGCUGAGGAGCGAAAGCGUGGGGAGCGAACAGGAUUAGAUACCCCAGUAGUCCCUGUCUCUUAUAU
rnacentral:rRNA from 1 species